rnacentral:rRNA from 1 species
GACGAACGCUGGCGGCGUGCUUAACACAUGCAAGUCAGGGGCCCGUUCGGGGUCGACCGGCGAACGGGUGCGUAACACGUGAGCGACCUGCCCUGGUGUGGGGGAGUAGCCGGCCCAACGGCCGGGUAAUACCGCAUACGGCACGCGCGAGGCAUCUCGCGGGUGCGAAACUAUUUAGGCGCCGGGAGGGGCUCGCGGCCUAUCAGCUAGUUGGCGAGGUAACGGCUCACCAAGGCGAUGACGGGAGCUGGUCUGAGAGGAUGGCCAGCCACAUUGGGACUGAGAGACGGCCCAGACUCCUACGGGAGGCAGCAGUGGGGAAUCUUGCGCAAUGGCCGAAAGGCUGAACGCAGCGACGCCGCGUGAGGGAUGACGGCCU